ACGGGAGGCAGCAGUGGGGGAUAUUGCACAGUGGGGGAAACCCUGAUGCAGCGACGCCGCGUGAGUGAAGAAGUAUUUCGGUAUGUAAAGCUCUAUCAGCAGGAAAGAUAAUGACGGUACCUGACUAAGAAGCACCGGCUAAAUACGUGCCAGCAGCCGCGGUAAUACGUAUGGUGCAAGCGUUAUCCGGAUUUACUGGGUGUAAAGGGAGCGCAGACGGCAUGGCAAGCCAGAUGUGAAAUGCGGGGGCUCAACUCCUGAACUGCAUUUGGAACUGUCAAGCUAGAGUAUCGGAGAGGUAAGUGGAAUUCCUAGUGUAGCGGUGAAAUGCGUAGAUAUUAGGAAGAACACCGGUGGCGAAGGCGGCUUGCUGGACUGGGACUGACGCUGAGGCACGAAAGCGUGGGGAGCAAACAGGAUUAGAUACCCUGGUA
rnacentral:rRNA from 1 species